UUAUAAAUAUAGUUUUACAAAUUGUUUCACUUAUAAAAUAAUAUGAUGGGCUUAAACCUGACAAACUCGCUGAAUUGAGAGAAAGAAAUAUAUGAAUAUAAUAUGUUUAUAUCCAAUUGAACAUUGCCUGAAGACACCUUUUUCUAUCUUGAUGGAGUCAUCUACUAAAUAAAUACUGUUAUUACAUUAUUUUCAAA